CACGCCGUAAACGAUGGAUACUAGGUGUAGGAGGUAUCGACCCCUUCUGUGCCGCAGUUAACACAAUAAGUAUCCCACCUGGGGAGUACGGCCGCAAGGUUGAAACUCAAAGGAAUUGAC
rnacentral:rRNA from 1 species